GGUUGUAACCCUCCCAUCUCUUUGCACACUUACAUGAAAUUAACCAUCACUGGGCAGCACACCUAUUUGGACCAAAAGCUCCUGCAGAGCUGGCACCAUGAGCAGUGGGGAGGGUUCAGUGGGCAACGGGGAUACAACAGUGAACAAAUCAAAAACAAACACAACAACAAAAACACCCUGCUUUGAUGAAGUUUACCUUCCAGAGGGAGAGACAGAUAAAUUACAAAACAACUCUGCGUUACCCAGGGGGCAUGGGAAUCCACACUGAAGUGGGAACCUACCAAAGCAGGGUCACAGCCCUCUAUCUCUGUGUGUGACAUUGGCCAAACUACUGUCCCUCUCCAGUGCUCAGGAAACCUUUUAAACAUCAUGGAUGUUUGCAGACACAGAACUAGAUGUCCACCCGCAUUCCCUGGUUGACACAGAGCCCAGAAUCCUGUGGAAGAAACCACAACUCUAAUCCACAACUCCUCC